GACGAACGCUGGCGGCGUGCUUAACACAUGCAAGUCGAACGGAAAGGCCCUGCUUUUGUGGGGUGCUCGAGUGGCGAACGGGUGAGUAACACGUGAGUAACCUGCCCUUGACUUUGGGAUAACUUCAGGAAACUGGGGCUAAUACCGGAUAGGAGCUCCUGCUGCAUGGAGGGGGUUGGAUAGUUUCGGCGGUUGGGGAUGGACUCGCGGCUUAUCAGCUUGUUGGUGGGGUAGUGGCUUACCAAGGCUGUGACGGGUAGCCGGCCUGAGAGGGUGACCGGCCACAUUGGGACUGAGAUACGGCCCAGACUCCUACGGGAGGCAGCAGUGGGGAAUAUUGCACAAUGGGCGGAAGCCUGAUGCAGCAACGCCGCGUGCGGGAUGACGGCCUUCGGGUUGUAAACCGCUUUCGCCUGUGACGAAGCGUUAGUGACGGUAAUGGGUAAAGAAGCACCGGCUAACUACGUG
rnacentral:rRNA from 1 species